rnacentral:rRNA from 1 species
UUGGAGGGCAAGUCUGGUGCCAGCAGCCGCGGUAAUUCCAGCUCCAAUAGCGUAUAUUAAAGUUGUUGCAGUUAAAAAGCUCGUAGUUGAACCUUGGGCCUGGCUGGCCGGUCCGCCUCACCGCGUGUACUGGUCCGGCCGGGCCUUUCCUUCUGGGGAACCUCAUGCCCUUCACUGGGCGUGUUGGGGAACCAGGACUUUUACUUUGAAAAAAUUAGAGUGCUCAAAGCAGGCCUUUGCUCGAAUACAUUAGCAUGGAAUAAUAGAAUAGGACGUGUGGUUCUAUUUUGUUGGUUUCUAGGACCGCCGUAAUGAUUAAUAGGGAUAGUCGGGGGCAUCAGUAUUCAAUCGUCAGAGGUGAAAUUCUUGGAUUGAUUGAAGACUAACUACUGCGAAAGCAUUUGCCAAGGAUGUUUUCAUUAAUCAGUGAACGAAAGUUAGGGGAUCGAAGACGAUCAGAUACCGUCGUAGUCUUAACCAUAAACUAUGCCGACUAGGGAUCGGACGGUGUUAGUAUUUUGACCCGUUCGGCGCCUUACGA